UGAAGUUCACAGCAAUAGAAGGACAUAACAACCCAGAGGAGAGGAGAAGAGAUGCAGAAAAAAAAACUGACAGCAGCUUUCUCCAUAAAUUAAGCAUCCAGUUGUGAUAAAAGAAGAUGGGCAAUCAUAGAGAUGGCAUCUCACUAUGUUGCCCACACUGGUCUCGAACUCCUGGCCUCAAGUCAUCCUCCCACCUCAGCUUCUCAAAGUGCUGGUAUUACAGGCAUGAGCCACAGCGCCCAGCUGUGUAAUAACCAUAUCAGUCAGGAGGUUGUUGAAGUGGUCCAGCCAACAGUGAAGAAAGCCUGAACUGAAGUAAUAAGACUGAACAGAGGGAACAAUGUAAACAGAAAAGAGACACAACACCCAAAAUGUGAGGUUAUUACCAAGAAAGAGAAGUGAUACAAGUUGAAGACAGACUCCACUUAAGCCACAAAUUUAUCCUAGAGCCAAACCUGUUUCUGGCUGUUGUUCUAGAUGAAAGAAAAAGGCUCAAUGCAGCAGUAUGGAAGUGUAUUGCAACCGUGAAUGACAAUGGAGA